rnacentral:rRNA from 1 species
CGCUCUGCUGGGCCAUAACUGACGCUCAUGGACGAAAGCCAGGGGAGCGAAAGGGAUUAGAUACCCUGUAGUCCUGGCCGUAAACGAUGAACACUAGGUGUCGGGGGAAUCGACCCCCUCGGUGUCGUAGCCAACGCGUUAAGUGUUCCGCCUGGGGAGUACGCACGCAAGUGUGAAACUCAAAGGAAUUGACGGGGGCCCGCACAAGCGGUGGAGUAUGUGGUUUAAUUCGAUGCAACGCGAAGAACCUUACCAGGGUUUGACAUCCUGCGAAUCUCUUGGAAACGAGAGAGUGCCUUCGGGAACGCAGUGACAGGUGGUGCAUGGCUGUCGUCAGCUCGUGUCGUGAGAUGUUGGGUUAAGUCCCGCAACGAGCGCAACCCACGUCUUUAGUUGCCAGCAUUUAGUUGGGCACUCUAGAGAGACCGCCGGUGAUAAACCGGAGGAAGGUGUGGAUGACGUCAAGUCAUCAUGCCCCUUACAUCCUGGGCUACACACGUACUACAAUGCUACGGACAAAGAGCAGCAAGUUCGCGAGGACAAGCAAAUCUCAUAAACCGUGGCUCAGUUCAGAUCGUAGGCUGCAACUCGCCUACGUGAAGGAGGAAUCGCUAGUAAUCGCAGGUCAGCAUACUGCGGUGAAUACGUUCCCGGGCCUUGUACACACCGCCCGUCACACCAUGGAAGUUGGCCACGCCCGAAGCCGUUACUCCAACCCUUGUGGAGGAGGACGUCGAAGGUGGGGCUGAUGACUGGGGUGAAGUCGUAACAAGGUAGCCGUACCGGAAGGUGCGGCUG